UACGAAGGGGGCUAGCGUUGCUCGGAAUCACUGGGCGUAAAGCGCACGUAGGCGGCUCUUUAAGUCAGGGGUGAAAUCCUGGAGCUCAACUCCAGAACUGCCCUUGAUACUGAGAGCUUGAGUCCGGGAGAGGUGAGUGGAACUGCGAGUGUAGAGGUGAAAUUCGUAGAUAUUCGCAAGAACACCAGUGGCGAAGGCGGCUCACUGGCCCGAUACUGACGCUGAG
rnacentral:rRNA from 1 species